GGCUAUAAAAAGACACAGGUGAGGGGCGGAGGCCAGUCGGCUUCGUUCCGUCAAGCGAUCGUGUGCGAUUCUGAUUAACGGUAUACUCAGCGUUCACUCUACGUCGUACGCGACAAUCGCAUCAACACGCACUCGGCACCCGGUAGCCGCCGAGGAUGAUGCGGCUGGUCAGUGAAUCGAAUAGCAGUGGGUGACCUCUCGCACGUGUGAUUCCACACUCGAUCAACGAACAAAACUAGGAGAGGCCUGUCAUAUCACCUCAGCGACGUAUCACUUGACGAGGAGAAAUCACGAGGAGAGAUCUAGCGUGAUCCACCCUCCGCUCUUCACGUGCAUUCGCGCCUCCUGCGUGUUCGACAGCUCCUGCGAUCGAUAAGCACACGCGCGGUGAGUGUGUAUAUGUGUGUGUGUGCGGGUGGCGCGCUGUCGUCGGACGAUCACUCAGUGUGCCCGCAGACGGCGCCGAGAGGAAGGAGCGAGCGCCGGAUCGAUCGGCUCGGUCGCCCGACCAAUUUCUGAUCGCCGCUGUCUCUGCAUGAAGGCGAUGGUGGUGAGCCCGGUGAGUGGCAGAGUGCCGCCCAAUCAUCGCGGCGUUCUCCACAACGGCCUGGGAAUCGGCGGCAGGCGCGACCUCGAGGCCGAGGAGAUAGCCGCUUAUCUGAUGAAGCUGCGCUCCCUCGUUCCGGACAUGCCGCGUAAACGGAAGCUGUCGAAACUCGAGGUGAUCCAGAGGGUGAUCGAAUACAUCUGCUAUCUACAGACCGCCCUGGAGGAGACGAACGCCACGCAUCAGGACAUGAAGACGAUGACAACGGCGACGACGACGACGACGACGACGACGACGGUGGAGGCGGCGACAGUGACAACACAGUCCUCGAGGCAACCUCUGCUGAACGCCGCCACAUCGAUCGCCGCGACAACCACGACAACAUCCGUCGUAACCACGACGGUUGCCGAGCGGUGACCUGCUGAUCAGAUCCGCUAAGGUAUAAGUCGCAUCGAAGCCACCCUCCUCACUGGACUAGGUAGAUCGCUCUUCAAAGUAUCCAUCAUCAAGCUGAUCUACCCUCUUGGCUUGGAUCACGGGAGAAGGUGUCGACCGCAUCGCGGAAGAGGAUAAUCAAGGAUCAUUCGAAGGCGCGUUCUGCAGCCGAAGAUGGGAUUUUGUAUGACGGUGAUGGAGAAGGACAUUUUGAUCAAAGAGCGAGUCCCGCGCGCCGGUUUCUCAAGCUCUACUCUUCCCCCACACACCCCGCAAUGGGAAAUUGAAAAAUCUGCGAGGAUUCGACGAUAUCGGGAAUGGAAGCCGGAUGGUACAAAGAAUGGAGGGACAGGAAGAUUAAAUAGGCGCACG
rnacentral:misc_RNA from 1 species